rnacentral:rRNA from 1 species
CGUAGGUGGCAAGCGUUGUCCGGAAUUAUUGGGCGUAAAGCGCGCGCAGGCGGUCUCUUAAGUCUGAUGUGAAAGCCCACGGCUCAACCGUGGAGGGUCAUUGGAAACUGGGAGACUUGAGUGCAGAAGAGAAGAGCGGAAUUCCACGUGUAGCGGUGAAAUGCGUAGAGAUGUGGAGGAACACCAGUGGCGAAGGCGGCUCUUUGGUCUGUAACUGACGCUGAGGCGCGAAAGCGUGGGGAGCGAACAGG